ensembl:lncRNA
CGACACGAUCGGGAAGUAAACGAGAAAUCUGAGUUCGUGUGUGUCCCCGCCCGGGCGGCGCAGCCUGAGAGAAACUCGGCGCCUCACUUCACCUUGCUUUGUGCACUACAUAUUUGGGCAAGUCUGAGGAAAUGGAGGGGUGGAAAAACCUUGCGUGGACGGCUAGGAAGCGAAGGACUGAAUAGAGUCAUUACAAACAAUGGAAGCAGCCAUAACAAUNGGGGAGACGCUGUGGUGCAAACCUGCCUUUCCUUCUUCCUGUGCAGGCAGGCACAGUGAGGUUACAAGAGUGUCUGUGUGGACUUUCCAGGGUUUGAAAACUGCUUAAAUCUGCAGCUCUGCCCCUCAUAAACUGAUCAGAUCAGACGCCAAGGCGAGAACAAGGCUUCCGAAUUUUUGACAGAUCUAUAGAGGCGAAAGUUUUAGCUAAUGCCAACUUUUAAAUCUUCUUUGCACGGAUGUUACUUUUCCUGUUCAGCUGUUGAAGGUGUAGGAUUCAUUUGUGUGUGAACCGCUUAUGCUCGUGAGUUUCUCAUCAGCCAUGGCUAUGAAAGAGCAUCUGCGGAUUAAAGAACACCACCGUCGUCCCAUUUCAGCUCUUGGGUAUCAUACAGCACGAAGAGAAUGUGUCACUGGCUUUGAAGAUGGAGCAAUCAAAUGGUGGGACACAGAGAGUGGGCAUGUGUCACUGCAUGCUAAAGAGCAUGCUGGCCGAGUCACUCACUUUCUUUCCUGGACACAGAAAAGGCUCUUCUUCUCUGCUUCCAACGACAGUUCUGUGCUUGUGUGGUCUGCAGGCGGCACUGUUCUUGACCGUGUCUUGCUACACCAUCCUAUAUUCACCCUGGCAAUCAGUUUGGCUCGCCAUCUCCUGCUUUGUGGCAGUAAGGGACGCCUGGUGGCUUUCCCCUUGGAUCAAAAGAGGGAAUCUGGGCAUGUGAUCAACACAACCCAGGGUUUUUCUGAACAGACNCACAAAGACAUUGUGUCCUGCAUUACUUGCUUAGGCAGCCAAAUAUACACAACAGGGUAUGACAAGAUGCUGCUGAUCUUUGACACUUAUCAAACUCCAGGCCGGAAAAGUCUGACAAUCAAGCACUGCAUCCCACGUGCCCACAGUGCAGCUAUCACACAUUUGCUGCUUGUGCGCCAGCAAGAAACCACAAGGGUGAUUACAGGUUCUUUCGACCAGACAGUUCGCAUCUGGUCCCAGGAUGGAAAACUGAUCCAGCGCCUUGGCCCUUUCCCUGGGAACAUUACUGGCCUGUGUUACGUUGCUUCUGUCGGCAUUGUCUGGAUUACCAGCGGUACAUCCCAACCCACCUUCUAUGAGCCCCAGUCCGGGGAAAUAGUUUCACAAUUUAUAUCCACAUUCCAGGGAAGACAGAAAGAUGGACCUCCUCUUCAUCAGCUUCUUAGUCUGCCAGAUUCGAGGCAUGUAAUUGGCACAGCAAAGCCAAAACAAGUGCUGGUCUGGCGUUACAGUGAGAUAGGCUGCCUAACUGUGCUGUCCUGCAAACACUCCCUAGAAUGCCUGACAUAUGGUAAGUUUCCAAGUUUGCAUCUACUUCUAUGUGUGCCCCAGCAUAUUGCCAGGUGGGUCAAACAGGCCUAA